UGCCGAAACCCGGGAUUGAACCAGGGACCUUUAGAUCUUCAGUCUAAGAUCUAAAGGUCCCUGGUUCGACCAUAUAUAGGU